rnacentral:misc_RNA from 1 species
UUUCCGUAGGUGAACCUGCGGAAGGAUCAUUAUCGAUUCAAGAGGAUGUGCUGGCUCAUUCUGUUGGGAAGAGCAUUGUGCACUCUCUCAAAUCUCACUCUAUUCACCUGUGCACAUUUGGUAGGCAUGAGGAAACUCAUUGUCUAUUGUUUUUCAUACACACCUCAUGAAUUUUAAUUGAACAAACUUGAUAAAUGUAACAACUUUCAACAAUGGAUCUCUUGGUUCUC